CGGCCGCACAGAUUCCCCGCCUGAUACCGUCCCAGGAUCCCAGGGGAAACCUGACGGCCAGGGCCCCUCGUGCCAGCUGCCGGGAGGCGGGAGGGAGUGCCCUGAAACUCUAAUCUCAUUGCCUGGCCAGAAAAGGAAGUAAUCCCUAGUGUCAGCAGAUUCAGCGGUACUGGUAUAUAAUAGGUAUACAGUUUAUUUUUAAUUAUUCAAUUAAUUCUUUUUGGAUGACUCUGAUGAUGUUCUAACUUCUCUUAAAAACAUGUUUGAAAAGA
rnacentral:sRNA from 1 species